AUACUGAUAACAGUGUUGGUAUCAAUGCUAUCGAUAUCUGGGUUGAUCUGCCCACCUCUAGAAUGCAGCGAGUUUCCUGUAGCUAACCACCUUGGCCAAUAUCAUGCAAAGAAGAUCUAGUCUGAAAAAGUUGUCAAUAACUUCUUUAGUUUAUCAGCACGACAAACACUGACAAUGAUGGAGCGAGGACAUCAGCUGUGAAUAUGCCCGGUCUAAUAAAACGGGCAAGUUGAAGAGGUGCAGGCUCAGGAGCACUUUAGGAUUAACAUCUAAGAGGAUAUCUGAACGUAAGAAGUUAAAUUAAUUGUUUUGCCAAACUCCACAUUUGUUCUCAUUAAUAUUUUUAUAACAUGUCACUGUGAGGGACCAAGCAGCCAAGGCAUAGAGGGUACAGGAAAAAAUGUCUUCAAACUGGGUUUUCUUUCAUUUAGCCCUUAAAAAAGUUCAAAAGGCAAAAUUCAAAAACAUUAUUCAGCAGGCCCAUAAAAGAGGUCAACUAAAUAUAACUCACAAACUAAAAUUACAAAGACACAGGAGGGUAGCUUUUAUAGUGGUUUGGUCAAACCAUUUACACACAAAAGGGGGAAACAAAAACACACACUAAUACUAACUAAGCACAGAACAACAUAAGUAAACCUAAAACACCCCUGUUUCUGAUAGAACAUGGUUGGUCCUGCUGAGCAGGCGUUUUCUUCUCUUCGACAGCCACGCCUUUUGCCCAGACAGGAAACAGCCACCGCCCCAAACCAGUAUAGUCCCUCACUUACUUUUGCUCUCUGCCUUCCAACGUAAUGCUAAACCAGACUGGACACAGAAUUGCAGGAAACAGCACCAAAGUAAGUGAUAUGGGGACCUCAACUGUGUUGUACGAUAUUUGGCUGCUGCCCUUCUUCUUCUCCCUGAAGAGAAAAAAUUAGAAAAAUCCAAUUCAGAUCUGAGCGUGUUGAAUAUACAGUAAUACUGUGGUUGUGGUGCAGUUCUGUGCUGAAGGGAAAUGCUUUAUACUAUAACACAGUACUCUCAGCACUCUUUUAUUUCAAUGAUGCAGUUCAGAUUGUCUUGUUAUUGGCUUGUACCAAACAUGUGUUAACAACAAUCAUGUAUUGAUAAUUAACUCUGGGUUAUUAUAAUAGCGCAUUUUCAAAAGCCACAGUGAUGCUCUUGAGUAGUACCACCGUUCCAUCUAAAGAACAACAAAAAUGAGCAGAAGGCACAGUAAGCUUACAGGAGAUGUAAUUUAGUUUAAAGAAAUUUAUUGAUGUAUUUUUAAACUGAAUCAUGUCAGUAUAGAUGAAGUAUUUGUCUUUAUACAUGUAAUACAGAAAUUAAUAAACAAAAUCAAUUCAGUUUGUUAUUUGGUGAUGUGUUUUGUUAUAUUAAAUCUUGUGUGCGGUCUUACAUUUGUGUUUGAACAUCCAAAUGCUUUGACCACACCGGUGUGAAAUUUUGAAGGUGUGGGUCACUCAUUAUACAGCAACAUUUCACAUUAUGUUGCACUCCCUAACCUUCAGUCAAUAUUUAUAUUAAGUGUUUACAAUGUUGUCACCCCUUAUGUCACUGUGAGAAUAAAGUAGCAGAGCUGCAUUGUUAUGUAACAGAAGUUGUUUGUAAUGCUUUUAGUUUGAAAUUACUCUGAAACACACACCCAAAAUCAGAGAAGUGUGCUAGUACUGAACACGUGUGUGUGUGUGUGUGUGUGUGUGUGUGUGUGUGUGUGUGUGUGUGUGUGUGUGUGUGUGUGUGUUCGCAAGACAGUUAUUCUUUGGUAGUCCUGAGGAGUCAUUAGGUUAGACCAUAUUGCUUUUAUUUAUUUGUACAUCUUUCUUUAGGGCUUGCAUGGUACUCAUUCUCUGUCUCUGUCUCCUUCCUUUCACACCCUAACCAGAUGUAGCUGUUGGCCACCCCUCCCUAAGGCUGUUUCUCUUUCUUCCUGUUAAAAAUGUUGCCAUGUGCUCGUUC